rnacentral:rRNA from 1 species
GACGAACGCUGGCGGCGUGCUUAACACAUGCAAGUCGAGCGGUAAGGCCCUUUCGGGGGUACACGAGCGGCGAACGGGUGAGUAACACGUGGGUGACCUGCCCUCAGCUCUGGGAUAAGCCUGGGAAACUGGGUCUAAUACUGGAUAUGACUCCACGGUGCAUGUCGUGGGGUGGAAAGCCUUGUGCGGCUGAGGAUGGGCCCGCGGCCUAUCAGCUUGUUGGUGGGGUGANGGCCUACCAAGGCGACGACGGUAGCCGGCCUGAGAGGGCGACCGGCCACACUGGGACUGAGA